rnacentral:piRNA from 1 species
UGGACUUACAGUUCUGCAUGUUUGGGGAUGC